rnacentral:rRNA from 1 species
CUGGACUUAAGCAUAUCAAUAAGCGGAGGA